UUUCCGUAGUGAACCUGCGGAAGGAUCAUUCAUAAUAAGUGUUUUAUGGCACUUUUUUAAAUCCAUAUCCACCUUGUGUGCAAUGUCAGGGUUGAUUUUUCUCUCGAGAGGAUCAGCCCCAAACAUCAACUAUAUCUCAACUCUUUGUCUGAAAAAUAUUAUGAAUAAAACAAUUCAAAAUACAACUUUCAACAACGGAUCUCUUGGCUCUC
rnacentral:misc_RNA from 1 species